rnacentral:rRNA from 1 species
GGGGAAGUCGGUGAUCCUAUGCUGCCAAGAAAAUCUUCUAGCGAGGUUCGAGCCGCCCGUACCCCAAACCGACUCAGGUGGUUAGGUAGAGAAUACCAAGGCGAUCGAGUGAAUCGUGGUUAAGGAAUUCGGCAAAAUACCCCCGUAACUUCGGGAGAAGGGGGGCCCAGAGGGUGACGGGACUUGCUCCCCGAGCCUGAACGGCCGCAGAGACCAGGGAGAAGCGACUGUUUACUAAAAACACAGGUCCGUGCCAAGUCGCAAGACGAUGUAUACGGACUGACGCCUGCCCGGUGCUGGAACGUUAAGGGGACCGGUUAGCCUCACGGCGAAGCUGAGAACUUAAGCGCCAGUAAACGGCGGUGGUAACUAUAACCAUCCUAAGGUAGCGAAAUUCCUUGUCGGGUAAGUUCCGACCUGCACGAAUGGCGUAACGAUUUCUCCACUGUCUCAACCACGAACUCGGCGAAAUUGCACUACGAGUAAAGAUGCUCGUUACGCGCAGAAGGACGGAAAGACCCCGGGACCUUUACUACAGCUUGGUAUUGGUGUUCGGUACGGCUUGUGUAGGAUAGGUGGGAGACUGUGAAGCUGACACGCCAGUGUCGGUGGAGUCAACGUUGAAAUACCACUCUGGUCGUUCUGGAUAUCUAACCUAGGUCCGUGAUCCGGAUCAGGGACAGUGCCUGGUGGGUAGUUUAACUGGGGCGGUUGCCUCCUAAAAGGUAACGGAGGCGCCCAAAGGUUCCCUCAGCCUGGUUGGCAAUCAGGUUUUGAGUGUAAGUGCACAAGGGAGCUUGACUGUGAGACUGACAAGUCGAACAGGGACGAAAGUCGGGACUAGUGAUCCGGCGGUGGCUUGUGGAAGCGCCGUCGCUCAACGGAUAAAAGGUACCCCGGGGAUAACAGGCUGAUCUUGCCCAAGAGUCCAUAUCGACGGCAUGGUUUGGCACCUCGAUGUCGGCUCGUCGCAUCCUGGGGCUGGAGUAGGUCCCAAGGGUUGGGCUGUUCGCCCAUUAAAGCGGUACGCGAGCUGGGUUUAGAACGUCGUGAGACAGUUCGGUCCCUAUCCUCUGCGCGCGCAGGAAACUUGAGAAGGGCUGUCCCUAGUACGAGAAGACCGGGAUGGACGAACCUCUGGUGUGUCAGUUGUUCUGCCAAGAGCACCGCUGAUUAGCUACGUUCGGGAGUGAUAACCGCUGAAAGCAUCUAAGCGGGAAGCAUGCUUCAAGAUGAGGUUUCCAUGGGGUUUACCCCGAGAGGCUCCCAGCUAGACUACUGGGUUGAUAGGCCGGAUGUGGAAGUGCGGUAACGCAUGGAGCUGACCGGUACUAAUAAGCCGAUAAC